rnacentral:lncRNA from 10 species
CUGUCACUUUCCUUUUUCUGUCCAUAAAUCUUCUUUGGCCACAUGGCAGCUCCAGUCUCUCUGAACCUAUUCUUCUGGUUCAGGGGCCACUGGAUUCACAAAUUGUUCUUUGCUCAGUUAGCUCUGUUAAAUUUAAUUUAUCUAAGGCUUCCCUUCUUUUCUUUUCUUUUUUUUUUCUUUUUUUUUUUUUUUUUGAGAUGGGGUUUCGCUUUGCUGCCCAGGCUGAAGUGCAGUGGUGUAAUCACAGCUCACUGCAGCCUCAAUCUCCCGACCUUAAGUGAUCCUCCCACCUCAGCCUCCUGAGUAGCUACAACUACAAGCAUGCGCCACCACGCUCAGCUAGUUUUGAAAAAAAAAAUUUGUUUUGAGACAGAGUCUCGCUCUGUCGCCCAGGCUGGAGUGCACUGGUGCGGUCUCGGCUCACUGCAACCUCCACCUUGGGUUCAAGCGAUUCUCCUGCCUCAGCCUCCUGAGGCACGUGCCACCACACCAGGCUAAUUUUUUUUUACUUUUAGUAGAGACAGGGUUUCAUCAUGUUGGCCAGGCUGGUCUUGAACUCCUGACCUCGUGAUCCGCCCGCCUUGGCCUCCCAAAGUGCUGGGAUUACAGGUGUGAGCCACCGUGCCCAGCCUGAAAAAUUAUUUGUAGAGAUGGGGUCUCACUAUGUCGCCCAGAGUGGUCUCCGGCCUCGGACUCCCACAGUGUUGGGAUUGCAGUGCGAGCCAUGGUGCCUGGCCGAGUUUUUCUUUUAACUCUCCUAAAACCCCAUUAAGACAAUAGCAAAGGAAUAAAAACAUAUAAAUUCACAAGGAGAAAGAUGGUGGGGAAGCAAUGGUGGUAACAGACUGAGCAGAGCAGAGUCCCUGCAGUGGGGUGCGGCAGGGGGUAAGAGAAUUGAAUUGAUUGAACCCUGAAAAGGCUCUGAACCAAGAGACACAAGGUGCAGGAGAGACGGAUGAAGCUGGGGACACUGGAGAAUGCCCCCUCAAAUGCUCCACCACUGCAGGAGGCCAGAGUGUACUCUGCAGGAACGGAACAGAUAAAGAAACAGAAGUUCAGAGAGAGCCAUGAAGUUACAUGAGAUCCUCUACUUCAGGUGAUCCCUGCGGUGUGGGAAC